GUGCUCACUUUGGCGGCACAUGUACUAAAACUGUAACAAUACAAAGAUUAGCAUGGCCUCUGUGCAAGGAUGACACCCAGAUUCGGGAAGCAUUCCAUAUUUUU